CUUGCGGCGCGCGUGGUUUGCUCCUGCUGCGUUCAGCUGGAACCCCAACGGACUGCGCGCACCAGCCUUUCCCGAUACUUUGGAACGAGCAGGAUGGAGCUACGUGGCCUGAUCCUGCUGACUGCGCUGGCCUGUAGCGUGAGGGCGACGACGGACAUGUUCACUGAUUGCAAAAAGUUCCCACCAAGCCUAACGAAACCACCGGAUGCUGCGGAUGCUACCACCAAAGUGGAAGCCGUGCCGGCUGAUGGAGGCGCUUUCACUGUCACCCUCCAUGGAGACCUCAAGCAAUUCGUAAUAACAGCCUGGGAGAGCGCGAAUCUCGGAACCACUAUGGCCAAGGGAGAGUUUGAUGUCGUUACAAAAGAUGCAGCUGAGGAAAUGAAGUGCGAUGGUAUGGAUAAGUCCGCUGUAAAGAACAAGACCCCGAUGCCGACGGCAAAGCCAUCCAACGUCGUAGUCACGUGGAAGCCUAAGGGCUGAAUAUAAAGGCAAAGUCAAGUUUAUGGCAUUGGUCAUCAGUGAGACGAAGCACUACAAUGUCACAUCAUCGGAAGCCGAGAUCAAGAUGGGGAACGCGGCGGGGCCUACGAAAGAGGAGCCAAAGAAAGAGUCGACGACAGGCGCCGCCUCCUAUACAGGCCUGUCCACGUGGUUGCUCAUCGUCGCGCUCGGACUCGUUGCAGUCGGCGGCCACCAACUGCACCGGCCUAUGAACUAGCCCCUCCUCGUCGGGCUCGUCCGGAAAGCUCCGUGAUGCUUCACGGACGAGCCUCCGGCAAGGGCUCCCUUUCGCCGGCGAUGGUUGAUGCCACAGGAAGGCCGAUCAAGGCUCUCCGGAAUGUCCGGCCAUUUUUUUUUCUUGAAGAACCUUCAGCUGCUUGUCCCCGCCGUUUGUCUUUUGUGCUCGUACUUUUUAAUGCGCUAGCGUUAGGAGCGUCCAAGUGGGAAAGCAAUGCGAAGUGUGAGAAGCUGGGCAUGUGGUACAGGUGUAUACAGGGUGUCCCAGCUAUCACGCAGCACGAUUUAAAAAAAAAGAGGAACGGCGCUACGCGAAGUAAACCUAGUGCGUAUUCUUUACAGUGCAGUGGA